UAAAAAAGUAAGUUAUUUUCUAAAUUAGUAUUAGUUAUGGUCUUAAAAUUUAAAAAAUUUGGCGGUAUUUUAGUCUAUUCAGAGGAACCUGUUUUAUAAUUGAUAUUCCACGAUAAAUUUCACUUAUUUUAAAUUUGUAUAUCGUCGUUAUUUGAAUAUUUUAAAAAAAUUUAAAUAUUCAAGAUUUUUAAUUAAAAAAAAUAUCAGAUCAAGGUGCAGUGUAUAAAUAAGAAAAAAUGGGUUACAAUAAAAUUAUUUAAGGAAAAUUAAUUUAAAAUUAAUUUGAAAGCGGAUUUGAAAGUAAUUUUAGUUUAGUUAGGAUGAUUUGAGCUCUAAAAUAUGU
rnacentral:rRNA from 1 species